AUCACCUCCAUGCCGCACGAAAACCUUACUCUCUGCAAAAAGAAAACCAGAAAAUGAGAAGAAAAGCCCAAAAGAAAAAAAAGAUGCAGAAACAAGAGAAUGAUGAGCUGAAGAGAGAGAAACUCACUCAGAAAAGUUGCACGCAAGACGUGGUUUGUAGAGAGAGAGAGUGGAGGAGGAGGAGUGAGAAACCUUGGAUCCAAAAAGCCUCUCCUCUUUUAUUUUUCUUUUCUCUUUCUCUCUCAAUCGGAAUAAACAAUUCCUCUCUGUCGCUCUCUCACUUUCUUCUUUCCUUUUUCCUCUGCCACGUUCACUCGAAUGAAACCCUCUCAAUCCCCGGAGUUCUAGAGAAAGAAAGCGAGGCGACACUUGAUUUUCUACUUCUUUCUCUCUCUAAAACCUUCAUCUCCGGCAAUGGGAGCUCGUUGCUCCAGAUUCCACCUCUGCUGGUUGUCGUCUGAUCUCAAAUCCAAAGUUCCAGAUUCAUCCGAUCUCGAGAACUGUCGCGAAAGUGAACAGGCCUCAUUGCCCAGCUUCAGAGAGUACAGUUUGGAUCAACUCAUAGCUGCGACCUCUGGAUUUUCAGUGGAAAACAUUGUAUCGGAACAUGGAGAGAAAGCUCCCAAUGUGGUUUACAAAGGAAAGCUUGAGGAUGACCGUUGGAUCGCAGUCAAGCGUUUCAACAAGUCGGCGUGGCCCGAUUCUCGUCAAUUCCUAGAUGAAGCGAGAUUAGUGGGGCAGCUACGGAGUGAGAGGUUGGCGAAUUUGAUUGGGUGUUGCUGCGAAGGAAACGAGAGAUUGCUUGUAGCUGAGUUCAUGCCUAACGAAACUCUAUCAAAGCAUCUUUUCCAUUGGGAGACCCAGCCCAUGAAAUGGGCAAUGCGGAUGAGAGUAUCCUUGUACUUGGCACAAGCUUUGGAUUAUUGCAGCAGUAAGGGGCGAGCGCUAUAUCAUGAUCUCAAUGCUUACAGGGUUUUGUUCGAUCAGGAUUGUAAUCCCAGGCUCUCAUGCUUUGGUUUAAUGAAGAAUAGCAGAGAUGGCAAGAGCUAUAGUACAAACUUGGCUUUCACCCCUCCGGAGUACUUGAGGACAGGUAGAGUGACGCCAGAGAGUGUAGUUUACAGUUUCGGCACCCUAUUACUUGAUCUCCUCAGUGGAAAGCAUAUUCCCCCAAGCCAUGCACUUGACCUGAUACGUGGCAAGAAUUUUCUGAUGCUGAUGGACUCUUGUUUGGAGGGUCAUUUCUCAAAUGAUGAUGGAACUGAAUUAAUGCGAUUAGCUUCACGUUGUUUACAAUAUGAACCUCGUGAGAGACCAAAUGCGAGGUCCCUUGUAACUGCUCUUGCUUCUCUUCAAAAAGAAACCGAUCAGGUACCGUCACAUGUUUUGAUGGAUAUUCCUCAUAAAACUGCAUGUUCAACGCAAACAUCAGUAUUGUCACCGUUAGGUGAAGCUUGUUCAAGGAUGGAUCUUACUGCCAUACAUGAGAUAUUGGAGAAGGUUGGAUACAAAGAUGAUGAGGGGGUUGCAAAUGAGCUGUCUUUCCAAAUGUGGACAAAUCAAAUACAGGAAACAUUAAAUUCUAAAAACCGGGGGGACGCUGCUUUUCGAGCUAAAGACUUCACUACUGCAAUUGAUUGUUACACACAAUUCAUUGAUGGUGGAACCGUGAUAUCGCCAACUGUUUUUGCCAGACGCUGCUUGUGCUUCUUGAUGAAUGGCAUGCCACAAGAAGCUCUUGGAGAUGCUAUGCAAGCCCAAGUUAUAUCCCCUGAAUGGGCCACUGCCUUCUACCUUCAAGCAGCUGCCCUCUUUAGCCUGGGGAUGGACAACGAUGCCCAGGAAACUCUCAAAGAUGGUUCAUCCUUGGAUGCCAAAACUCUCAAAGAUGGGUCGCCCUUGGAUGCCAAAAGGAAAAGAAUCUGAAAGUAUGCUAGCUGGAGCACAAGCAAGUGAAGCAGAUGAUUCGCUAGACAUGGGACCGGCAGCCUCAGCAGAUGCUGGACCUGAAGCUGCAGAGACUGGACCAGAAGCUGCACCAGAACUUAGAAGCUCAGCCAUUGCACGUCGUGGAUUCGUUUGCUGUGCCUUGCACAAGUCUGGCAAAAACACUCCUGCAGAUGUAACACAGCUUGAAAAAUGUUGGUGUUGGUGAUAAAAGUUUGAAGGCAAAUCACCACCUUCUGCUAGAGCCAAACUGUAGUAGAGGUCAACAAUGUUGGGGCAGUUCUGAUAACAAGCCGGAGAGCAAAGUCUGGCAGCGAAUUCAGGCUCCAGAAGGGAAUCUGAGGAGAUCCCGACGGAGUAUCUAUCAAUGCCACAAGCACUCACACACUCGUUAUUCUCAACCCAUUCAGGCAUAUUUUUCACCACCACCUCUGAGCUCUUGCAUUGGUAUGCAAUGGUUCCAUCACUAGACUCGGAAGUCUCUAACAAACAUCGCUUUCCAGAAGAUGCGACCGCGAACGAGCACAUUCCUACGGGCAGUUGCUCACAUACAAAACCACCUACAUAUAUAUAUAUAUAUAUAAUGUUAGUAUUGCAUAUAAAGUUUUAGAAAGAGAAAAAAAGAGGAGAGAAGUUCUAGUGGUGGUACCUAGAGCGCCUUGGAGGAAGAGAGAGAAAGCGAAGAAGAGGAUCAAUGCCAUUUAUGUGAAGAAGCUUUGUGGUUCUGGUUUUUAGAAAUUCUUGGACUUCGUUUAAAACUUUCUUGGGAUGUUUUUUGGAUGGAAGAUUAUAAGGGAGGGGAGUGUUUAUAUAGAGAAAAUAACCUUGAAAAUCUAUAGAAAAUGACAAUGGAGAGCAUAACAAGGUUUGAACUGU